rnacentral:misc_RNA from 1 species
GGUUGUUUCAGUCAGCGGUUUGUGUUAAUUUUUUGAGAAACAAAUGUUUUUUGAAUAAUUUGUCGCUACAAACUCUGAUAAUCUUUACAAAAAGCUUCACCAUGGAUGACCAAGCAUGCCCCCGCUGUAAAACCACGAAAUAUAGAAAUCCCUCUUUAAAGUUGAUGGUAAACGUGUGCGGUCAUGCCUUGUGUGAAAGUUGUGUCGAUUUGCUGUUUUUAAAAGGAUCGGGAUCAUGCCCAGAAUGUAAUGUGCCUCUUCGGAGGAGCAACUUCAGAGUCCAAUUAUUCGAAGAUGCUAUGGUAGAGAAGGAAAUAGACAUACGGAAGCGUGUUCUUAAAGAUUACAAUAAAAAGGAGGAAGACUUUGCCACGUUACGAGAAUACAAUGACUAUUUAGAAGAAAUUGAAACUAUAAUAUAUAAUCUGACGAAUAAUAUUGAUAUAGUUGGCACUAAUAAGAGGAUUGAACAGUAUAAGAAGGAAAAUAAAGAAUUGAUACAGAAGAAUAAGGUUAAAAUAGGAAGAGAAGAAUUAGAGUUAGAAGAGAUACUAGAGAUAGAGAAGCAGAUGGAAGACCUAAGAAGAUCAGAAGCAGCCCGUAUAGAGCAGGAAGCUAAGAAGCAAAAGAUUCGGGAGAAGGAAGCGUUGAUUGAUGAGUUAAUGUUUGCUGAGGGUGAUGCCAAAGAUAUACUGACCACAUUUGCUCAAAACAUUGCCAACAAACAAGAAGAAGCUUUGCCUGUUGUGCCGAAGGUGACACAGUUCUCAACGGGCGUGAAGUUCACGCGAGGCAGCAACCAUACAAUGUUACCGGUCAUUGAAGAGGGCCCAUUGUACAAGUAUGAGCCACCGGUUGUACCGGACUGGAUAGGACCAGACCCACCCACUCUGGAUGAUAUUGUUAACAAUGGGUAUUUGCAGCAUGUCAGAACAGAGACAGAAACAGAGAAAGCGGGUGGUUACUCAGCCACUCUGCCGUGCCUGCGCGCCCUGCAAGACGCACUCGCUGGCCUCUACCACGCCAGCUGACGAAAACCACCAAAAGUGGUGGAAACCGUCAUCAUAUUAGACUAACAGCACUAACACUGUCAAGUUGUCACCAUUACUACUUCGUACAAAACCACGCCAAAAAAUUAAAAAUAAUAUGUAAUUGCUAUGGAACUGAAUAAGUGUAAAAAAAAAUGUAAUAAAUAGUGGUGUUCUGAGUUUCGAUUUUUGAAUUAAGUGUAAAAUGAAGAUGACAUUCAAAAUAAUCAAGGAGUUGUUUCGGUCUAAUAUUUGAUCUGUACGCAGAUUCUGCAUAGAAUUAUUAUAACUUGUAAAUUAGUUUCAUUUAAAUCCGUCGACUUCUUUAGUUUAUCCUUAGACUUGGUUUUGUAAUAACAAUGAAAACCGUUAGAUGUCUAGAACUGAUUGGCUGAGAGUUUCGCUUAAGAAAUUAGGAGUUUCAUCUUUUCAUGUAUUUUGAAAGUAAUCUUCAUUACUUACUACUGUAUUGUGUUACAGUGUAAUAAAAUUUGAAGUUGCAUGAUAAAAUUAGUUACAUUAAAUAAUAAUGAAACAUAUCCAGUUGAUUGUUAUCAUUGUUUCGAAUUGUUUUUGUUCUAGAAACAAAAUAGGCAGCAUUUAAUUGUUCAUUUAUACUGUCUUGUUUUCUUUUUACGGGUACCUCUAAUUAUUUAAACAGUUUUUUUGUCCAAAAUAGUGUUCGUGAAUGAUUUCACGAGUAUGUUGUGAUAAAUUUCCCAUGUGAUGGCAUUUUGUUACUGUUCUGUUUGUUUUCUUAUUUUUGUAAAUAUAAUAGUAAGAUGUGUUUUAAACUAAGCUAGAAAUAUGUGUCUAUUUGUUACAUUUUAUGGCAUGUAAGAGUCUUGAAGUAGUGAAAAGUAUUUACUAUGUUUAGGUGAAAAACUUUGUCUCGUGAUAACUACUGCCUGUAUUAUAUUUCUGGUUUAUUUAUAAAUAACUUAUUAUUGAAAUAGAAUUAAUUACAACGAAGUUCGAUGUUCGUCUAAAAAAUAAAAGUGUUGAAGUGGC